GCAAGUCGAACGGUAUUGUUUUUCUCUUUUAUAGGAGAGCACGAGCGUGGCGAACGGGUGAGUAACACGUCCUUAAUCUGCCUAUCAAACUGGGAUAGCCAGUGGAAACACUGGGUAAUACCGGAUACGUGCUAAGCAAGGAAUUGUUUAGCAGAAAGGGUACGUAAGUGCCGUUGAUAGAGGAGCCUGCGCUUGAUUAGCUAGUUGGUAGGGUAAUGGCCUACCAAGGCAAUGACCAAUAGCCGGCCUGAGAGGGUGAAC
rnacentral:rRNA from 1 species